rnacentral:rRNA from 1 species
CCUACGGGAGGCAGCAGUGAGGAAUAUUGGUCAAUGGGCGCGAGCCUGAACCAGCCAAGUCGCGUGAGGGAAGACGGUCCUAUGGAUUGUAAACUUCUUUUGUCGGGGAGCAAAAGACGCCACGCGUGGCGUUCCGUGAGUAUCCGAAGAAAAAGCAUCGGCUAACUCCGUGCCAGCAGCCGCGGUAAUACGGAGGAUGCGGGCGUUAUCCGGAUUUAUUGGGUUUAAAGGGUGCGCAGGCGGAAGAUCAAGUCAGCGGUAAAAUUGAGGGGCUCAACCCCUUCCAGCCGUUGAAACUGGUUUUCUUGAGUGAGCGAGAGGUAUGCGGAAUGCGUGGUGUAGCGGUGAAAUGCAUAGAUAUCACGCAGAACUCCGAUUGCGAAGGCAGCAUACCGGCGCUCAACUGACGCUCAUGCACGAAAGUGUGGGUAUCGAACAGGAUUAGAUACCCUGGUAGUC